GAAGCAACAUCCGCUUCGUCUGCUGUCCCCAUUGGUUUAACAGCUGCCAAUUGCUCGUAUGAACUCUCACCCUCAGGCGGUUUCCGCCAGUAACCGCUAGGGUCCUGCCCUCUAGUCUGGCCCUCGGAUACCGAGUUCGGGCUGGCCGGUUGGUCCCCUUGGGACCGUGGGACUGAAGUCUUUCUCCUUUACUCAUCGCCCUCCGCUCCUCUGUACCUCAUCCCAAAGCAGGAAGCGAAAUUUUCUCUUGUUGGAUCCUAUCCCAUCCCAAGGAGCUCGGCCUCAUCGUAGAUGCUGUGAUCACUUUAGAACACAUUUCUCGGCCCUUGGUGGUCACUACCGGUAUUUGAGAGUGCGAGUUUCAAGGGCUUUUGUUAUUCACCAGCAGCAACUCUUGAGCUGAGGCCGGCUCUCCAGCUCUGUCUGGCCGCAAGUCGUGGCUCCUCUCAGCCAGUCCGGUCUUCUUUGCACAGUGUCUGCUUUAUUUGUCCUUUUCGUUUCUUUUCAAAUUGACCUGCCCCUCGGUAUGUCCCAGGGCCAAAUAUUGCCUCCUCGCCUUUAGUCUCCCACUCUACUGUGGCAACUCACUCUUGAAAAUUUAUUUGUCACUACUCCAACCCUGGGUUAGAACAUUUUUUUCUAACUUCCCACCAUUUCCCUUUGUGCCUCGGGUUAUUUGCAAAUCCUUCCUCGUCCAUUCGUGAUGCCUUUCUAUAUUAUUCCUGGAAAGGGCUGAUGUACUAAAAGCACUGGACUGUAAUGCUUUGUUCUUGUAUAUAAUACUGUAAUGUUUUGUUCUUGUAUAAUACCCUAUUACAGAUACAAUAAUAGAAGCUACAAUUUAAGUUUACUGUGUGCCACACUAUUCUUCAUGUGUCAUUUGCUCCUCAGUUUGGUUCUUUGUAGCUAUUUCCCAUUUUCCAGAUGAGAAUAUUGAGACCAAAGAUGAUUUAACUAGAUCAGUCACAGAUCUGGUCUGGUUCGUGAUGGUGUUAAGUUUGAUAUCCAGGUUGCCAAUGCUUUGAACAUUUUUUUUCCUAAAAACUCAUUCAAUAAGUAUUUUUGAAAGACCUACUUUGGUCUUUGGUCAGAGGCCAAAGCCCUGAUACAAAGUAUUUCGAGACGCUUGCAUCAGAUGCUCAGGACAUUAUCAUACUCAGGAACUGGUCCCUUUAGUAUUCCUGUUAAAGUUAUUGUUGAGAUUCAUAGGUAUGAUGAUCGGGUAUACCUGAUUCACUGAGAUGAGGAAAACCUAUGAGUCAGGACUCGAAAAUUUUCCUUUCUGGUCCUCAAAGUUGUACUAGUGAUUCAGAGUUGACUGCACUCUUACUCUAGAGAUUGCAUCAUUUAUCUCUUCUAACAGGGCUUGUAAUGCUGCAGCAACACUGACCCUUCUUUGGGUUGCAUCAGUCUGGUAUCAAGAUGGCAAUCAUCAUUUGACUGUUAUGUUUUUGUGUCAUUUCAAGCAAACUUUCUGCAUGUACUACAGUCCAUUUCCAUUAAAUAAAAUUCUGUUUCACCCUUAACCUUGAUUGAUGACAUCCACUUUUGGUCUGUUAUGGAUUGAGAACCGGUGGUCAACACCAGCUGGAUUACAUCAGCAUGCAUUGAGUGAAGAUGCUCCACCUGUGGAGGGUUGCCAGGAUAACUAAGUGGAGAAGAAGGGAGAUGUUGAGAGCUGAAGCGUUAAGGAGGGUUUGUGGGUUCUCCUGCGAGUUGCUCUCUGAGCUGUUAGUUCUGGAGAAGCUUGGGUCCUCGAGCAUUGAUUCCUGGCUCCGGAGGGGAAGACAUGUGCUGCUUGGUCUCUAGGAUGAACUUGUCACCCUGCUUCCUGGCACGUACCCAACUGUGCUUGUCGGGGCCUCCAUGUCACUGAGAACAGCUAUGGUGCCUUUCAGGAUAGCCCUGGUCUUUUUUGUGAGUGUGACUUCUCAGCUCCAGUGUAGAACCCUCAUCCCACUAGCACAGCUCCUUCAUUCUGCUGGCAUAGACUUUCUGGUUUCCACCGCUGACCCUUGGGUCUUCCCAGCACGGAUCCAUAAAAGAGACUGGCAUGAGUCCUUCUUGUGGGCUCUGGCCCUCCAGUUGGACUUGUGGGAGGCAUUGUCCUGAGGGGUUUUUAUUUGGACUCAUGUGGGACAUUGCCGUGGGGUUUAGGCUCUUGACUAAAUAAUCUAUGUCUUUGGUGUUCUGGAUAGAUUUCCUGCAUUUUCCUGUGUUAACUUUCCUGUGUUAAUCCUGUAUUAACUUUUAUAAUAUUUUAUAAUAUUAUAAAAAUAUUAUAAACUCCA